CCUCCUUUCUAGAGAAAGAUAAAUUAAGGCUAAUUCCAUUAACUCUUCUCUAUUCUAUUCUUUUCUUUUGAUAAAAGAGUUUUUAAAACCAAUGUUAUUUCUAUAAGUUUAAGAGAAUCUUAUGUAUUGAGUGUUUUAUUUUUGAUAUUAAGAUAUUUUAUUAAACUUAGGCUUAAGUUUAGAUCAUUUUGGGGGUUUAGCUCAGUUGGCUAGAGCAUCGGCUUUGCAAGCCGAGGGUCAAGGGUUCGAAUCCCUUAACCUCCAUUAGGCUUGUGCCUUAAAUUGCGAUUAAGUAUAUUUUCGGUUAACUUUGUUAAAGUAAUUAUUGGAAUGUGAAGCAGAGGAAGUUAAAAUUUCUGAGUUAAAGUUGGGACCUGUUGAUAUUAACAAGAAUGUCUAGAGGUGAAAGUAAGUUGCCUAUAAGAACCAAAUUUGUUUUACUAAAGGAUAAGGGUUAAACAAGAUUAUAUUUUAUGGCAGCCUAUUUUAUAAACUACUUACAUUUAUUGUUAUCUUUUAAUUAAGAAAUAAUGUGGAUUGUUAAGUGUGAUGUCUAGAAAGAGGAGAAAUAUUAUAGCAAACCGCAGCCUUUAUUAUCGUUACCAGUAUGUAAUUGUGGAUAAGACGGUCAUUUAUAAGUUGAAGGAAGGUAGGGUUGAGUUAAGUCGUCAGCCUUGGUUUACAAUCUUGUCGCAAUGGCCUGAAAAAUUUGAAAAAAUGCCGUAAAGCAGAUUUCAGUUUGGAUUUACUUGGCACCCAAAGUCAUGAAGUUGGAGUAGUUAGUAACCAUAUAUACAUGUCUUGAUAUGGAGAUUGAAUAAAUUUUAUGGUAUUAAUUAUAUAGCACUAGUAUACUUAUACAG
rnacentral:tRNA from 1 species